UUUAUGGAGAGUUUGAUCCUGGCUCAGGAUGAACGCUGGCGGCGUGCCUAAUACAUGCAAGUCGAGCGAACGGACGAGAAGCUUGCUUCUCUGAUGUUAGCGGCGGACGGGUGAGUAACACGUGGAUAACCUACCUAUAAGACUGGGAUAACUUCGGGAAACCGGAGCUAAUACCGGAUAAUAUUUUGAACCGCAUGGUUCAAAAGUGAAAGACGGUCUUACUGUCACUUAUAGAUGGAUCCGCGCUGCAUUAGCUAGUUGGUAAGGUAACGGCUUACCAAGGC
rnacentral:rRNA from 1 species